rnacentral:tRNA from 1 species
CCCCCGGUAGUUCAGUGGUAGAGCUCCUAGAAGCGGUGAGACCUAAUGCAAGGAGGUCUCAGGUUCGAAUACUGCCCGGUGUC